AUUGAACGCUGGCGGCAGGCUUAACACAUGCAAGUCGAGCUAGCGGCGGACGGGUGAGUAAUGUCUGGGAAAAUGCCUGAUGGCGGGGGAUAACUACUGGAAACGGUCGCUAAUACCGCAUACCAUCAGAUGUGCCCAGAUGGGAUUAGCGAGUAGGGGGGGUACUGGCUCACCUAGGCGACGAUCCCUAGUUAGUCUGAGAGGAUAACCACCCACACUGGAACUGUGCCGCGGUCCAGACGCCUACGGGAGGCAGCAGUGGGGAAUAUUGCACAAUGGGCGCAAGCCUGAUGCAGCCAUGCCGCGUGUGUGAAGAAGGCCUUCGGGUUGUAAAGCACUUUCAGCGAGGAGGCGUUACUCGCAGAAGAAGCACCGGCUAACUCCGUGCCAGCAGCCGCGGUAAUUC
rnacentral:rRNA from 1 species